rnacentral:miRNA from 1 species
GAGCUGGGAUGAGCUGGGCUGAACUGGGCUGGGUUGAACAGAGCUGGGUUGAGCUGGGCUGGACUGGGCUGAGUUGA